rnacentral:rRNA from 1 species
AGGCGACGACGGGUAGCCGGCCUGAGAGGGUGUCCGGCCACACUGGGACUGAGAUACGGCCCAGACUCCUACGGGAGGCAGCAGUGGGGAAUAUUGCACAAUGGGCGCAAGCCUGAUGCAGCGACGCCGCGUGGGGGAUGACGGCCUUCGGGUUGUAAACCUCUUUCACCAUCGGCGAAGCCGGGAGCUUUUGUUUCUGGUGACGGUAGGUGGAGAAGAAGCACCGGCCAACUACGUGCCAGCAGCCGCGGUAAUACGUAGGGUGCGAGCGUUGUCCGGAAUUACUGGGCGUAAAGAGCUCGUAGGUGGUUUGUCGCGUUGUUCGUGAAAUCUCACGGCUUAACUGUGAGCGUGCGGGCGAUACGGGCAGACUGGAGUACUGCAGGGGAGACUGGAAUUCCUGGUGUAGCGGUGGAAUGCGCAGAUAUCAGGAGGAACACCGGUGGCGAAGGCGGGUCUCUGGGCAGUAACUGACGCUGAGGAGCGAAAGCGUGGGGAGCGAACAGGAUUAGAUACCCUGGUAGUCCACGCCGUAAACGGUGGGUACUAGGUGUGGGUUUCCUUCCUUGGGAUCCGUGCCGUAGCUAACGCAUUAAGUACCCCGCCUGGGGAGUACGG